GUGAGGAAUAUUGCGCAAUGGAGGCAACUCUGACGCAGCCAUGCCGCGUGCAGGAAGAAGGCGCUACGCGUUGUAAACUGCUUUUAACCGGGAAGAAACCCCAGGACGUGUCCUGGGUUGACGGUACCGGAGGAAUAAGCACCGGCUAACUUCGUGCCAGCAGCCGCGGUAAUACGAAGGGUGCAAGCGUUAUCCGGAUUCAUUGGGUUUAAAGGGUGCGUAGGCGGAGCUUUAAGUCAGUGGUGAAAUCCUGCAGCUUAACUGUAGACUUGCCAUUGAUACUGGCGCUCUUGAGUGCGCUUGAAGUGGGCGGAAUGUGCCGUGUAGCGGUGAAAUGCUUAGAUAUGGCACAGAACACCAAUUGCGAAGGCAGCUCACUAAGGCGAUACUGACGCUGAGGCACGAAAGCGUGGGGAUCGAACAGGAUUAGAUACCCGUGUAGUCC
rnacentral:rRNA from 1 species